CAGCCGCCGCGGGAAUACGGAGGGAGCUAGCGUCAUUCGGAAUUACUGGGCGUAAAGCGCACGUAGGCGGCUUUGUAAGUUAGAGGUGAAAGCCUGGAGCUCAACUCCAGAAUUGCCUUUAAGACUGCAUCGCUUGAAUCCAGGAGAGGUGAGUGGAAUUCCGAGUGUAGAGGUGAAAUUCGUAGAUAUUCGGAAGAACACCAGUGGCGAAGGCGGCUCACUGGACUGGUAUUGACGCUGAGGUGCGAAAGCGUGGGGAGCAAACAGGAUUAGAUACCCGCGUAGUCCCUGUCUCUUAUAC
rnacentral:rRNA from 1 species